AUAAUCAUGAGUCAAAGUUAAUGGCAGGAAAAGUUUUGUUCCAAGUGAUAUUUUUCCCUUGGAAGUAAAAAAAAUAUUCAAUGUUUACUUUAGCUUGGUUUUAAAUUUUUAUAGUUUUCCAGAAUGUGGUUUGGAAAGUCCAGAAGUCCCUCUGUCAGUUGCUUCAACAAAAUCAGGUGAAAGUAAGCUGACAUGCAGAGCCUUAGUCCUGAUGCAUGGACUGAGGCUCCUUUACUCUGCAAAAGGAAAUCUACAAAAGUGGGUGAUUAUCUCUGGAGUUGUCUUGGCCUUGGAUCUUCUGUUCAUCUAGGAGCAU